rnacentral:rRNA from 1 species
UUCGAUGAUACGCGAGGAACCUUACCUGGGUUUAAAUGUAGGUUGCAUAGGGGGGAAACUUCCUUUUCCUUCGGGACUACUUACAAGGUGCUGCAUGGUUGUCGUCAGCUCGUGCCGUGAGGUGUCGGGUUAAGUCCCAUAACGAGCGCAACCCCUAUCGUUAGUUGCCAGCAAGUAAAGUUGGGGACUCUAACGAGACUGCCGGUGUAAACCGUGAGGAAGGUGGGAUGACGUCAAAUCAGCACGGCCCUUAUAUCCAGGGCUACACACGUGUUACAAUGGUCGGUACAAAGAGCAGCCACUUGGUGACAAGGCGCUAAUCUCUAAAGCCGAUCUCAGUUCGGAUCGAAGUCUGCAACUCGACUUCGUGAAGCUGGAUUCGCUAGUAAUCGCGCAUCAGCUAUGGCGCGGUGAAUACGUUCCCGGGCCUU